rnacentral:rRNA from 1 species
GGGGAAUAUUGCACAAUGGGCGAAAGCCUGAUGCAGCGACGCCGCGUGAGUGAAGAAGUAUUUCGGUAUGUAAAGCUCUAUCAGCAGGGACGAAUAAAUGACGGUACCUGACUAAGAAGCCCCGGCUAACUACGUGCCAGCAGCCGCGGUAAUACGUAGGGGGCAAGCGUUAUCCGGAUUUACUGGGUGUAAAGGGAGCGUAGGUGGUUCGGUAAGUCAGAUGUGAAAGCCCGGGGCUCAACCCCGGGACUGCACUUGAAACUAUCGGACUAGAGUGCAGGAGAGGUAAGUGGAAUUCCUAGUGUAGCGGUGAAAUGCGUAGAUAUUAGGAGGAACACCAGUGGCGAAGGCGGCUUACUGGACUGUAACUGACACUGAGGCUCGAAAGCGUGGGGAGCAAAC